UUAAGUUCAGCGGGUAGUCCUACUCGAUUUGAGGUCAAGUUGUCAGAUAUUGUCCGAAGACGGUUUGAAGCACAGAGCUCCUGAUCAGCCACCCUCUAAUGAGGUGCCGGCGAAGACACUUAUCACGCCGUACUAUGUCCAACCAAGAGUUGCACUACUCCAUUUGAGGCAAGCCACAGUAAAGCAGCAACACCCAAGUC
rnacentral:misc_RNA from 1 species